AGAGUUUGAUCCUGGCUCAGGAUGAACUGCUAGCGGUAGGCAUAACACAUGCAAGUCGAGGGGCAGCUGGUUUGGUAGCAAUACUGAAUGUCAGGCGACCGGCGGAUGGGUGAGUAACGCGUACGCAACCUACCUUGUACAGUGGGAUAGACACUGGAAACGGUGCGUAAUACCACGUAAUAAUAUAGAUAGGCAUCUAUUUAUAUGGGAAGGGUACGUAAGUAUUGGUAUAAGAUGGGCGUGCGUAGGAUUAGAUAGAUGGUGGGGUAACGGCUUACCAUGUCGACGAUCUUUAGGGGUUCUGAGAGGAAGGUCCCCCACAUUGCAACUGAGAACGGUGCAAACUCCUACGGGAGGCAGCAGUGAGGAAUAUUGGUCAAUGGGCGGAAGCUUGAACCAGCCAUACCGCGUGCAGGAAGGCGGCCUUAUGGGUUGUAAACUGCUUUUAUAAUGGGAUAGUGAUUAUAUCGUGCAUAUGAUAGGGAAGGUACAUUAUGAAUAAGUAUCGGCUAACUCCGUGCCAGCAGCCGCGGUAAUACGGAGGAUACGAGCGUUGUCCGGAUUUAUUGGGUUUAAAGGGUGCGUAGGCGGUUGAUUAGGUCUAUGGUGAAAUGGUUGUGCUCAACACAAUUUAGCUGUAGAAACCGGUCGGCUAGAAUAUAAGUGGCGUAGGCGGAAUAAAGCGUGUAGAGGUGACAUUCAUAGAUAUGCUUUAGAACACCGUUCGCGAAGGCGGCUUACGAAGGUAAAAUUGACGCUAAUGCACGAGAGCGUGGGUAUCGAACAGAAUUAGAUACUCUGGUAGUCCACGCUGUAAACGAUGAUAACUAUAUGUCGGCGAUAGAAUGUCGGUGUAGAAGUGAAAGCGAUAAGUUAUCCACCUGGGGAGUACGAUCGCAAGGUUGAAACUCAAAGGAAUUGACGGGGGCCCGCACAAGCGGUGGAUUAUGUGGUUUAAUUCGAAGCAACGCGAAGAACCUUACCAGGUCUUGACAUCCUGCUAACGAAGUAGAGAUACAUUAGGUGCCCUUCGGGGAAAGCAGAGACAGGUGGUGCAUGGUUGUCGUCAGCUCGUGUCGUGAGAUGUUGGGUUAAGUCCCGCAGCGAGCGCAACCCCUAUUGUUAGUUGCUACGCAAGAGCACUCUAGCGAGACUGCCGUUGACAAAACGGAGGAAGGUGGGGACGACGUCAAAUCAUCAUGCCCCUUAUGACCUGGGCUACACACGUAAUACAAUGGCGGUCAACAAAGGGAUGCAAAGCCGCGAGGCAGAGCGAACCCCAAAAAGCCGUCCCAGUUCGGAUCGCAGGCUGCAACUCGCCUGCGUGAAGUCGGAAUCGCUAGUAAUCGUGGGUCGGCAUACCACGGUGAAUACGUUCCACGGGCCUUGCACUCACCGCCCGUCAAG
rnacentral:rRNA from 1 species